CUCAUCUCCUGCUCUUGCAACAGAUAAAAGCGCAGGGCUGCAGAAAAAGCAGUCUCCAUAGUGUGCUCAGCUCAAAGUUGGCCGGUGAUGUGGCUCAGUUGAAACAGAAGGCCCCGGGUAAAAAGAAUCUCUCAGGGACUGGCUCCAGGGACAAGGAGGUUUCGCCUUGUAAUGUCAACCCCAAGCAUGGACACCGAGGUCAGGGCGCAAGCAAAGCUGAAUCCAGGCGAGAGUCUGGAGGGCAGAGUGACACAGCAGCUAGUGUGGACAGUGGCCCCCAGGAGAGCUGGACUGGACUGGGGCGUCGUGGUCGGAAAAAAGGGUCUACCUCUCUGACACAGGGUUCAUCCCAUCUGAGUCGGUCUAGAGCAAAGGUUUUCCACGGGCAGAGACAGGAAACAAUGGAGGAGGGAGAGAGCUCCCCACCAGGCACCGACUCCUCCGAUCAGGUAGAAGAGGAAGAAGAGGAAGGCAGUUACGACACUGAUGAAGGACAGGACUUCAGAGCCCAACCCCCCAGAGAUGUCACUUCUAGCUCCUCUGUGACAGGUCCGAGUCCCUCAUCUGUUGUAAAACUGGAGGCCAAUCAGAAAGCACGGAACAAAAAACAGAGACAGGAGCUUUAUGGCUCCCACAGUCUGUCUGGAGCAGAGGGGGAGGUCAAAGUGAAGAAGAAGCCCCCGUGUAAACUGGGCCUGGCCUCUACAACUAGAAACUACCAUGAAGAUCAUCGGCCUGAAGGGGUUAGCAGGUCAUGCGGACCCAGGUCCAAGGAGCCUCGGUGGGGCAGCCUUGGGACCCGAGGCAAUCGCUACAGGAGAAGCAUGGGAUUGGCUACUUUCCCAACCACCACUGAGAGGCUGAAGAGGGCGACCCGCAAGAACACCAUGUUGAGAGGCGCAAUCAAUAAGGUUAGCGAAAAGUACUUCAGGAUAUCUAUGUAUAAAAUUUAGACUUGUUUAAAUCACUUUUUUACA
rnacentral:lncRNA from 1 species